AGUCAACGCUGGCGGCGUGCCUCAGACAUGCAAGUCGAACGAUUAAAGCUCUCUUCGGAGAGUGCAUAGAGUGGCGCACGGGUGAGUAACACGUAAGUAAUCUACCCUCGAGUGGGGAAUAACAGUCGGAAACGACUGCUAAUACCGCAUAAUGCAGCGGCACCGCAAGGUGACAGUUGUUAAAGGAGUAAUCCGCUUGAGGAGGAGCUUGCGGCAGAUUAGCUAGUUGGUAGGGUAAUGGCUUACCAAGGCUACGAUCUGUAUCCGGUCUAAGAGGACGGUCGGACACACUGACACUGAAUAACGGGUCAGACUCCUACGGGAGGCAGCAGUCGGGAAUUUUGGGCAAUGGGCGAAAGCCUGACCCAGCAACGCCGCGUGAAGGAUGAAGUAUUUCGGUAUGUAAACUUCGAAAGAGUAGGAAGAAUAAAUGACGGUACUAUUUAUAAGCUCCGGCUAACUACGUGCCAGCAGCCGCAGUAACAC
rnacentral:rRNA from 1 species